rnacentral:rRNA from 1 species
AGAAUCAACGCUGGCGGCGUGCCUAACACAUGCAAGUCGCACGAGAAAGGGGAGCAAUCCCUGAGUAAAGUGGCGCACGGGUGAGUAACACGUGAAUCAUCUACCUCCGAGUGGGGAAUAACCAAAGAAAUUUGGCUAAUACCGCAUAACACUUACGAGUCAAAGCAGCAAUGCGCUUGGAGAGGAGUUCGCGGCAGAUUAGCUAGUUGGCGGGGUAAUGGCCCACCAAGGCGAUGAUCUGUA